UACGUAGGGUCCGAGCGUUGUCCGGAAUUACUGGGCGUAAAGAGCUCGUAGGUGGUUUGUCGCGUUGUUCGUGAAAACUCACAGCUCAACUGUGGGCGUGCGGGCGAUACGGGCAGACUAGAGUACUGCAGGGGAGACUGGGAAUUCCUGGUGUAGCGGUGGAAUGCGCAGAUAUCAGGAGGAACACCGGUGGCGAAGGCGGGUCUCUGGGCCGUUACUG
rnacentral:rRNA from 1 species